UACGUGGGGGGCAAGCGUUGUUCGGAAUUACUGGGCGUAAAGGGCUCGUAGGCGGCCAACUAAGUCAGACGUGAAAUCCCUCGGCUUAACCGGGGAACUGCGUCUGAUACUGGAUGGCUAGAGGUUGGGAGAGGGAUGCGGAAUUCCAGGUGUAGCGGUGAAAUGCGUAGAUAUCGGGAGGAACACCUGUGGCGAAGGCGGCUACCUGGACCAGCACUGACACUGAAGCACGAAAGCGUGGGGAGCAAACAGG
rnacentral:rRNA from 1 species